AUUAUAAAGAAUGAUGACCUCAAAGACAAAGAGCUCCAAGAACUCGGUUCUGAAACUUUUGGUUAGUCUGAGUAAUGAAAUGUGACCCUACUGAAAGUUCUACCUCAUUUCAGUUCUUCUCUUUUCCAUUUAAUUAUCUAUUUCAUUCCAAGUUAAUUGUCUUACAUACCUAUAUCUUUCAAUGCAAGACUACACGAGGACUAUGGUCUAUGGGAUAUCAAGCUCCUUCAAAUAAUCUGCACCAGUUCUUCUGGAGAAUAAUGUGUAUGCAUGGUCUACAAUGGAGUUUACAAGAUAGAUUCACUUACUCAAAGAUUCAGCCUAACAUUUUCCAUAAGGAUUAUGAUUAUGUAUGUUAUACCAACUCUCAGUAAUCUCUACUACUAAU
rnacentral:lncRNA from 1 species